rnacentral:misc_RNA from 1 species
CUUGGGGAGAAGUGGCCAUUGUCUGCCAAGAGGGGGGAAAGGAACAAAAUUGAAUCAUGUAAACAAAAUAACAAAUAGUCGAAAUUAUAAUACAGAAAUACACAACUAUGAAGGUACAGUGAUGCAUCGUGAUUUUGCCAUGAUAGACAUGCCCUCAAAUUUAAUCACAAGAUAUCAAUUUUUUUACAGUGAGAAAUUAACAAAUCCGAAUAAAAUUUGGCUAGAUUUGAGAAUUCUAGAACGCAGACUGCAGCGAGCCAAGGGUAAAUACAGCAUACUAAGAUGGCAGAACAGGGACUAACCCAAACUUUUAUAAU